UGACACCAACAGAGCAGAGUGAAAAACAUUAACAAGAGUACUUAAGGAGAUACAGAAAGGGUCUAAGCCAGCACACCAGGGUCUUAGGGUCUCGUGUGGCAGAGGAUUCUGAGAUAAAACUCAACAGCCCAGCUGCACCGUAAAGCCUCAAAGGUGUCAUUAAACUGAAGAACGCAGCUGAAAUAGCAGAACAUUGAGGUCAAGACCGGGAAAAGUUCAAAGUCUAGUAGAAGGAAAGGAGCAGAGGUUGAAGUAACAAAUAUUAUAGUCAAUGAGAAAUCAAGGAAAGGGUGCUGAACUCCUCAGCUGGCUCUGUUCGGGACAUAGGAAACAGAGCAGCCAUGGAAGGGGAGGCACAAGGAAAAUCAAGUCAUUGAAGUUGUCAGAAAGUGGAGUGAAAAGACCAUGAGAAUAGAAGUCCAUGGAAUCUAAAACAACAAUGAAAUCUUGCCAAAGGUGAUGUGUCUCUUCUGUGAUAUGCAGUUUUGGUUAACAAUGUUGCUCUACAUCACUACAGUAUUUUUUUCUGAAACAUCAGAAUCUAUUUUUUUUGUGCUAAAGUUUACAUUCAGGGAAAGGAAGAAUGUUCACAGUGAGCAUGAAGCAUGUGGAGGCUUUGUCAGUCCUUGGCAAGGAUUUUAGAGAUUGCCUUUGUGUCUUGUAAGUGAGCAUGUGAGAGGGAAUAUAAGUGGGGUCUUCAGAGAAUCCAGUGUUCUGUCUAGUUUGUGGAUUUUAAGGCUAUACUUCCAUGAUUUACCUCUGGGACAAUUUAUUAAAUAUUUUGUUUAAGAGAUAAUUUGAUUUGGAAGCUUCUGCAGAAGAAUGAAAAACACUGUCCAGCAGCCCUGAGAAAUCUUACUUCCAUUCUUUUGGUGCCUCUCAGAGGCAUUCAAGGUGCCUCUCAAUGAACAAUAUUGUUUAAGUCAAAUGCUCCUCAGAGGGGUCAUCAAAGGCUCAA